rnacentral:rRNA from 1 species
UACAGGGGGUGCAAGCGUUACUCGGAAUUAUUGGGCGUAAAGAGCGCGUAGGCGGCUUCGUAAGUCUGAUGUGAAAGCCCCGGACUCAAUUCGGGAAGUGCAUCGGAUACUGCGAAGCUGGAGUACUGGAGAGGAGAGUGGAAUUCCAGGUGUAGAGGUGAAAUUCGUAGAUAUCUGGAGGAACAACAGAGGCGAAGGCGGCUCUCUGGACAGUAACUGACGCUGAGGCGCGAAAGCGUGGGGAGCAAAC